CCAGACCCUGGAAUUCGGCCAGUCCCCACCCCUGUCCUGUGGCUGAGGGUGGACAGGGAGUCAGGGGGGUCUCUUGUUGGUUUGCCUUCUUCCUCUCGCUCUCUCUCCUGAAGACAGGAAAUAUAGAACCAAUCAGUAACUUGGAAGACUGAGGACAGGAGAGCAGGAGGGAGCGGGCUUCAGUCUUGUUCCAGUCCCUGGAUCAUCAGGCAGGGUCUGAAAACCACUGUUUGAGACAGCAUACAUUCCCAGGACUGCAGACCACUGGACCAAACUUCUAGGAAACAAGACUUGUGCACCCUGCCCUCUCUUCCCCUGCUCAUCCUUUGGUGAAAGGAAAGAAUGACCCACAUUGUGACUCCAUGGCGAGAAUGGAGAGGGGAGAGAAAUA